UGACACAAUUUGGUUAUAAUUUAUGUUGGC
rnacentral:piRNA from 2 species